rfam:Flavobacterium sp. FPG59 Contig_70, whole genome shotgun sequence.
UUAUUGCCGUUUUUGAAUGAGGGAUAGAAAGGGAAAUCCUUUUUUGCAUUUUUUUCGCAAAAAAGAUUGAACUGUAUAGCCCGACCCGCU